AUGCCAAUCGUCGCCAGAGCUGAUGCAGCUAUAAACUUUCAUUCCUCAUUUCUGCACACCACAGCGGCUGCCCUGUCCUCAGCUCUCUGUCUAAUCCUCCAUCCACAUGGAACACCAGCGACCCUGAGCAUUGUUGGCCGAUUCAGCUCAGAGAUAUACCUCCUGAUGAACGCAUGUGUUGGCAGUAGGGAGUUGAACACAUUUUCAUGUAUAGCAUGCCUUCUCGCCCACCAAAUUGACCAUAAAAUUACCAAGGUUCACUCCGUUUCGAUUUCUUUUACCAAGGUUCUGGCCCCAAGCCCUCCAACAUAUUCACCAGUGCUGCCGAUUCAGCAUCCAUCUCAUUUCCAAGUCAAUUUCCCUCCACCUAUGCAAUUUGCUGCCCAGGGAAUGCAGCAACAGCAGCCGUGGCAAAACCCUCCGCACCCUCCUACGGGGCAGUGGCCUCCGCAAUUCUGCCCCCCACAGCCUCAGUAA
rnacentral:rRNA from 1 species